UACAGAGGGGGCAAGCGUUGUUCGGAAUUACUGGGCGUAAAGGGCGCGUAGGCGGCCUGUUAAGUCGAACGUGAAAUCCCCGGGCUCAACCCGGGAACUGCGUCCGAUACUGGCAGGCUUGAAUCCGGGAGAGGGAUGCGGAAUUCCAGGUGUAGCGGUGAAAUGCGUAGAUAUCGGGAGGAACACCUGUGGCGAAAGCGGCUUACUAGACGACAACUGACGCUGAGGCGCGAAAGCUAGGGGAGCAAACAGG
rnacentral:rRNA from 1 species